UUCUAGCGGUCUCUCCAGCGGCACAGCGCAUACCCAAACCUCCCCAGGGUGACAUCAUCCCAUAUAUGGACUCUCCAGCCCAGCCCUCCCCCUUUUCCUGGUCCUAAAUUCAUUGCCAGUUCCCCAGUCUGCAGCAAAUGUGCCACGUCAAGACUGAAAAUCACAGCACUGGAGUGGGGCUCAGUCAGUGCAGCAGGCUCCAGGGGGGAGAGCCGAAUGCAACUGUUCCCAGGGACUGAGAGAGGAUUUUAAGGGCCCAGAUGGAAGCUUCUGGAGCUCCUGCCCCGUCGGCCCAGUGUUCAGACUACCUGUUCAGGACAAUGCCGUUGUACAGUAGUCUGCACAUUGGUUAGACUGGGCAAGGCACAGCAACGCCCUGGACGGCUGGGACAAGAGUGGCUGUUUCCGAGGAGAGGAUGUUUGUUGGCUCCUCUUUCGUAUCUCAUAUCCAGUGUUUUUCUUCACAGGUUUUGCACAGUAGGGACCAAGAAGCCCUCGGGGACACCGCUGGGAAAAGACUGCUCCAGGGAAGACCUGCGGGUAAGGCCCUCUUGCCGCUCACCUGGGCUGUGACCGGGAGAGCUGAGGUGGGAGCCAAUGAUUUGUGUCACAUGCGAGGAGAAACAGGCAUUUGUGUGGCCAAGAGCGAUGCAUUUAUUGUAAAAGGGCAACGGGGUGCGGUACAUAGUGGUUUACUGUAAGUCACUCACUUUCUGAAGAUUUAUAAGUAUUUUCUUAAGCUUAAAGAUUUUUCCACUUCAAUAUGAAAUACGAAGACUCCAAACACUAAAAAUAAUUGAAUAAGGCUAGUUUUCAAUGGCUAAAAGGAAUAAUUCAGAGACCUAAAAACCUGUUGAAUGAGGGCUGUGCUAUCACUUGAAUAUCCUAGAAUUGGUUCCAUUUUGCCCCAAAGUAAAGAAUACUUGCAAUGUUUAAAAUGUUCUAUGGAUAGUGCUUUUCUGAAAUUUUACUUAUAUAAGACAAAUACCGAAAAUAACAGGAUCUAACAAUAACGGAGUAGGCUGCCAAGUUUUUUGCCCACCAGACCACGCAGAUGGGACUUGCCCAGAAAAGAGCGCCAACCCAGAACUAUUGAGUCAGCAACUGAAUAACCCGUGAAAUAGAAACCUCUGUCUUCAGCUAUCCCAAUAUAUAGCCCUGGGGGUUUUUUGUUGUUGUUGUUUUUAAAAUCCAAGAAUGGUUGAUAAUUGCUGGUCAGCUGAGCCCUCAUGCCUAGGUUUUAUAAUGUGUCUAUGUCUCCGAGCAUUUAAAAUGAUAAGGUACUUUGUCUAGAAAGCCACUGAUAAAAAAGGAAUUUGUAAAGGAAGGCAAAGUUUUUGUUGGUCAGUUUCCAGCUGUCCUGGAGGUGAAGGAGGGAGGGAGGGAGAAGAAGGUGGGAGGAAGGAAAACUGAAUGAAAUCCCAACAGAGAGAAUAAUACAGAAAGUCUGGGCUGCAAUAUGAUCCACACUGAAUUUCAGAGGUGGGUCCCUUAAGGAAAGUUCUGGAAAAAUGGUACUGCCUCACCCCUAAUUCCCUCAACCCCCUAUUUAUAGAUACCCCCAAACAAUUCUAUGUAAUGAAAGAUCUGUUCUAUAGACUUAAUCUGAAACAUUAAUAUAAUCUCUUUUGUCCUCCCUUAAAUUAUUUAAAGUUACAGUGGUUCCUGAACAAAUCCUUUUCUAAGUUAUAUAUUUUGCAACAAUUCAAAAACUGUCACACAUUCUCCUUUGCAUAAGUUUAUUAUAAAAGGUUCCCAACGUUAUCUUUUGUCAAAAUGAUUUAUUUUAAAAUUUACCCUUUUGAUCAUCCUAAAACUGGUAUAAAAAAAAACACACGUUUUCUCUUCUAUUCAUGGUUUUUUUGAGUUAAAAUAUUAUAAAAAGGGAGAAAUUUAGCUAUCCUCUCCACUUAGAGGAUACGAUUUGUUUUCUAUUGGGACUUGGAGGCUUCCAUAUUAAUUAUUUUUCAUUGAACAAAUGAGAUUUUUUCAAUCUAUAUAGUUUCUUUUACAUAGGAAAACUGAAAAGAGAAACUAUGAGAUAACUUACCAGAGCUUAUUUUUUUUUUUUUUAAAGAAAUGUAUUUCUACUAAUUUAUACAGUUAGAAAAGAGGAUAGUUAUAGGGUACUUUGGUAAUGUUUAAGAUGUCUCAAAUUUUGAGGGGUUUUUUUUGGUGUGUGUUUUUGUUUUUGUUUUUGUUUUUUUACUCUGUAGAAAUGAUUGAAUUUUAUAACUUACUUUCAUUUCAUGUAUAUUUAAUUUAAAUGUCUUUUUUAAUUAUUAUUAAAUGGCUUUUUUAUUUCAAAGAAACUAACUACCAUCAGCCCCUCACCUACUUCGUCUCUUAAGAUGACUUUUAGUUUGCAGACGGAGGGGACCCAAGGGUGUCCUUGCGUAAGUACAGGAGUAGAAACAGAAGAAUAAAUUUGUAUGGGGGGAGCCGAGGAGCCCCUACGUGUGCUUGGAGUCCUGAUUACCCAUUUUUUAUGCCAACUUUCAACAAAUGAAAAGGAAUAAUACUUAUUUUUUAACUGGCAUGAGCUCAAUGCAAGAUCAAAAAAGCAAAAGCUCACUCUGUAAACCUCUGCUCACUGAAGGCAGGUGGUCGAUUGUGCGCUGGGACCUACACCAGCAUGUAUGCACACUCAGUGUAAACUAACUUUAUUUCCAGGGUAGAAUAAUGCUUAAUUUUAUCCUGAUAUUACUUUGUAAGGAGACAUACAAAUAUUUUAGGGAUCAUGGGAUCUAUUCCAGAGAAAAUUAACCAACAGUGACCAUCUUCGACUAAAACUGCUCGCGGAUAAAAUGGGAAGUGUUACAUCAUUCCUUAAUUGAGCAGAGUUAACUGGAUCAAAGUAUUUAUGGGAGAGAGAGGGAAAGCUAUACCGAAUUACAGUAAUUUUUAAUUUCUACAAAUAUGCUCUUUGUAAGUGAAUUACUCUAUAAAUAUUUUCUGUUGCACUGAAUGCAGCAACGAUAACAAAAUAGUUGCUUGAGGUAUUUGUUUUCCCAUACUCUGACCUUGUAAUUAUUUAAUGGCAGCCAAGUUCACUGAUGUUUUUGAUUUUCUCAAGAAAAAACACACAAAAGUCCUCUACUCAGAAGUGAUGACCAGAAACAGAAUCAGACAUUUAUUUUCUUGGAAUUAAAUAAAUGGAAACUUGCACUUCUCAACUCUUUGUUAAAGCUGUAGCACACCUAAUCAUUGCAUAAAGGUUUAGCUGUGUACAAAACUCAUUUUUUCAUAGCCUCUAAAAAUUAUUUUGUUCUCCAUAAAGUUUCUAUCUGCUAUUUUUCUCAGAAUUUUACAGUGAACAGGAAAUAUACUAUUUAUUUUCUUUAAAAUUCUUUGAAAAAAAAUCCUAAUUACAUAUUCCUUGGACAAUAAUGUUUUUUUGUUGUUGUUUUAGGAAAUCCCACUUAUUGUAAUUUUGACUAUCUGGUGAUUUUGUUGUUUAAAGGGCAGGGUAUGAAUUGAUCAUUUAUUUUAAAAGAGCCAGUAGAGUUAUUUUAGACUCACCAGAAUUAAACUUUCUAUCUGUAUAUUUAACACCAUCACUCUUUCUCUCAUACGAGUUAUAAGGAAAUUUCCAAAGGGCCUGGUUUUACUUUUUGGAUAUGAAAUGAAGUUUUUUUGUGUGUUUAAGGGGCUGUUUUGUAACAGUAGUGCACUAACAAGGUCCAAAACAUAAUCUGAGUGAGCAACUCUGUGGCCAACAGCUGUGUAGUUUAUACCCUUUUGAUUCAUGGCAGGGCACUAUGGUUAAUGAAGCGGAGGACUUAGGUUCACAACUGCUUUUGAUUUGGUUUUCACAUCCAUACUUAAAAACUGCAUUAAAAAGAAUAUGAGAAAUUUAAAUAAGUUCCUGUUUUAAUAACAUAUUGGUAAAAAUACAACCCAUGUUAAAAUCCCAAAGGUCGGCUGGUUGAACUGCCAGAUACAUUAGGCUCAUUAAUUAUUUUUAAAAUGGCUGCCAUUUCCAUGUAAAUGAUAAGUUUCUUUUUCAUGGGGAAGGUUAUGGUACUUAUCUACUACAACAAACAUGUAUAAACAUGUCUUUAUCUUUAACUUCAGUAUUAAAAUUUGCAGAGUUUGGGGAAGAGGAAAAACAUCUGGUUCAAUUACUCUGAACUCUGACUGCAUUAUGGGCCAGUAAUAACAUGAACUGGAGUUAAGAAUAAACCUGGUGUUUAAUCUUUUUUUGUUUGUUUGGUUUUGCCUUAAAAUUUCAAUAUGAGUUUUCUGUCAAGUCAAUGAUCCAUGUUAGCACAUUGGGAACGAAUGUAUAAGUGUACUUUCUGAAUAAAGUCGAAAGUCUAACUUGUUUUUAGUUCCAUAAUGUUUUAAUGUUUAAUUCUAUUGUGUGUUUUUCUCCCUUUCCCCCUGACCCUCCAAAUUCACCAAAUCUGGAAAACAGACUGACUGUUUCUGCCCAUGAGCAAAGGAAACCUGAAGGAACCAAGGGCCUGGCUGGACGGAGUUGUCAUGUGUCUGCCUGUCUACACUUGCUGUGCAGAACAUCCGCUCACCUGUACAGCAGGCACAGACAGGCAGUCACAUGACAACCCAGCCUGAAUGACAACCAGCCAUUGAAAGAAAGCAGCCCUCACACCAUAGCAUCUACACCAAGAGCUACAACCAAAAUGAGGGGUUCGGGGGGAAGGCCUGGGUUUUUCAUCUGUUGGUUUAAUACUUAACUCGUAUGUAUUAUUAUUAUUAUUAUUAUUAUUCUUUUGAUUCAAAUAUUGAAACCCACCAAAAGUAAAGUGAGUAGUGCCUAUGAAAUAUAAUAAAACCCAUUUCUGAAAAUGC